UAAUAGGUGUUUUUUUAAACUUAAUAGGGAAUUAGGUUGAAGUCCUAAACUACCCCAGUAACCGUAAGACUGACGAAAUUCAUGUAUAGCCACUGUAUAAAAAUACGGGAAGGUAUGGAGAGUAGGAUGAAGUUAAGUCGGGAGACCUGCCUACUAUGAUG
rnacentral:ncRNA from 1 species